rnacentral:rRNA from 1 species
UUAGAUCAGAAGCGAGAAUGUUGACAUGAGUAGCGACAAAGAGGGUGAGAGACCCUCUCGCCGAAAGUCCAAGGGUUCCUGCUUAAAGCUAAUCUGAGCAGGGUAAGCCGGCCCCUAAGGCGAGGCCGAAAGGCGUAGUCGAUGGGAACCAGGUUAAUACUCCUGGGCCAGUGGGAUGUGACGGAUCUCGAAGAUUGUCUGCCCUUAUCGGAUUGGGUGGGCCGUUCAGAGGUUCCUGGAAAUAGCCCCACAUCAGACCGUACCCUAAACCGACACAGGUGGACUGGUAGAGUAUACCAAGGCGCUUGAGAGAACCACGUUAAAGGAACUCGGCAAAAUGCUCCCGUAAGUUCGCGAGGAGGGAGCCCCAUGUGUACGCAAGUAUGUGUGGGGGGCACAAACUAGGGGGUGGCGACUGUUUACUUAUAACACAGGGCUGUGCGAAGCCGUAAGGCGACGUAUACAGUCUGACGCCUGCCCGGUGCUGGAAGAUUAAGAGGAGGGGUGCAAGCUCUGAAUUGAAGUCCCAGUAAACGGCGGCCGUAACUAUAACGGUCCUAAGGUAGCGAAAUUCCUUGUCGGGUAAGUUCCGACCUGCACGAAUGGCGUAACGAUCUCCCCGCUGUCUCUAACGUGGACUCAGCGAGAUUGAACUGUCUGUCAAGAUGCAGACUACCCGCGGUUAGACGGAAAGACCCCAUGAACCUUUACUCCAGCUUUGCACUGGUAUCAGGAUUGUGAUGUGCAGGAUAGGUGGUAGGCAUUGAAGCGGGGACGCCAGUCUUCGUGGAGCCUCCCUUGAGAUACCACCCUUCGCCAUCUUGAUAUCUAACCGCGGCCCGUUAUCCGGGUCCGGGACCCUGCAUGGUGGGGAGUUUGACUGGGGCGGUCGCCUCCCAAAUUGUAACGGAGGCGCGCGAUGGUUGGCUCAGACCGGUCGGAAAUCGGUCGUUGAGUGCAAUGGCAGAAGCCAGCCUGACUGCAAGACUGACAAGUCGAGCAGAGACGAAAGUCGGUCAUAGUGAUCCGGUGGUCCCAAGUGGGAGGGCCAUCGCUCAACGGAUAAAAGGUACUCUGGGGAUAACAGGCUGAUGAUGCCCAAGAGUCCAUAUCGACGGCAUCGUUUGGCACCUCGAUGUCGGCUCAUCUCAUCCUGGGGCUGGAGCAGGUCCCAAGGGUAUGGCUGUUCGCCAUUUAAAGAGGUACGUGAGCUGGGUUUAGAACGUCGUGAGACAGUUCGGUCCCUAUCUGCCGUGGGUGCAGGAGACUUGAGAAGAGUUGACCCUAGUACGAGAGGACCGGGUUGAACGAACCACUGGUGGACCAGUUAUCGUGCCAACGGUAGUGCUGGGUAGCUAUGUUCGGACAGGAUAACCGCUGAAGGCAUCUAAGCGGGAAGCCCCCUUCAAAACAAGGUCUCCCUUGAGGGCCGUGGAAGACCACCACGUCGAUAGGCCAGAGGUGUAAGUGCAGCAAUGCAUUCAGCUGACUGGUACUAAUUGCCU